rnacentral:tRNA from 30 species
GGUACCUUAGCUCAGUUGGUAGAGCAAUGGACUGAAAAUCCAUGUGUCCCUGGUUCGAUUCCUGGAGGUACCACAA